GAGAGAGGAACAAAUAAAGCUCAAAGCUAACAGAAGGAAAGAAAUAACACAGAUCAGAAUGGAAAUAAAUGAAAGAGUCUAACAAGAUAAUAGUUAACAUCACUGAAAAUAAGAGCUGUUUUACUUUGAAAAGGCAAAUAAAAUAGACAAAUCUUUAGCUCCACUCAGCAAGAAAAAAGCAGAUAGGACUCCAACAAAUAAAAUCAGAAAUGAUAGCAAUGUUACAACUGAUAACACAGAAAUGCAAAGGAUCAUAAGCUAUUACUAUGAAAAAGUAUAUGCCAACAAAUCAGAUGACUUAGAAGAGAUGGCUAAAUUCCCAGAAAUAUACAAUCUACCAAGAAUGAAUUAUAAAAAAUAGAAAAUCUUGGAGUUCCGAUUGUGAAGCAGCAGAAAUGAAUCCAUCUAGGAACCAUGAGGUUGCAAGUUCGAUCCCUAGCCUCCUUCAGUGGGUUAAGGAUCCCGCAUCGCAGUGAGCUGUGGUGUAGGUCACAGACACAGCUUGGAUACCGUGUUGCUAUGGCUCUGGCAUAGGCUGGCAGCAACAGCUCUGAUUAGACCCCUAGCCUGGGAACCUCCAUAUGCCACAGGUGCAGCCCUAAAAAGAUAGAUUUUGCUGUGUAGCACUGAGAACUAUGUCUAGAUACUUACAACACAACAAUAGGAGGAAAAAGUAUGUAUACAUGUCUGUGUAACUUGGUCCCCAUGCUGUACAGUGGGAAAAAAAAAGACAAAAAUUCAAAAAAAAAUAUAGAAAAUCUGAACAGAUUUCUUCUAAGAUUAAACCAGUAAUCAAAAAUCUCCCAACACACUAAAUUCCAGCACCAGAUGGUUUCACUGGUGAAUUCUAUCAAAAAUGUAAGAACUAAGGCCAAUCCUUCUCAAACCCUAUUUUUAUUAAUUUUACUACAUUUAUAGUUGUACAGCGAUUACCACAACUCAAUUUUAUAGCAUUUCAAAGUUAGAUGAGGAAAGGAAAUUUCCAAACUUAUUUAACAAGGCAGCAUUACCCUGUUACUGAAACAAGAACACUAUAAAAAAAGGAAAUGACAGGUAAAUACCCCUGGUGAAUACUGAUGCAAAAAUCCACAAAAAUAUCAGUAGUAAAUUGAAUUUUAAAAUGUAUUAAAAGGAUCACACGCCAUGAUCAAGUGGAUUUGUCCCAGGCAUGUAAAGGUGGUUCAACAGCCAUAAAUCAAUCAAUGUGAUAUAUCAAAUUAUCAAAACAGAGGAUAAAAAUCAUGAUCAUCUCAAUAGAAGCAGAAAAAGCAUUUGGCAAAAUUCAAUGUCUAUUUGCAAUAAAAACACUCAAUGAGCUGGGUAUAGAGGAGUUGCACCUCAACAUUACAAGGACAUAUUUGAUAAGCCCAUAGCUAACAUCUUAAGGUUGAAAGCUGAAAUACUUUUCCCUAAGAAUAGGAAUAAGAAAGCAUGUCUACUCUGACCACUUUUAUUUAACAUAGUAUUCAAAGUCCUCGCCAGAGAAAUCAGUCAAUAAAAAGAAAAAGUAUAUAUAUUGGAAAGAAAGAAAUGAAAAAGUCUCUAUUUGGAGAUGGCAUGAUAUUAUAUACAGAAAACCCUAAAGACUCCACAAAAAAAAACAGAAUAAACAAAUUCAGUUAAUCUAGAAAAAUAGUUAAUAUAUUAAAAAAGUCACUUGCAUCAUUAUAUUGCAUUUCUAUACCCUAAUAAAAAACUAUUAGAAAGAGAAAUUAAGAAAACAAUCCCAUUUGCAAUUUGUGAAAAAAUAAAAUACCUGGGAAUAAAUUUAAUCAACAAAGUGCAAGAUUUUUUUUUUAAGGGCUAUACUCAUGGCAUAUGGAAGUUCCUGGCGCUAGGGGUUGAAUCUGAGCUUUAGCUGCUGGCCUAUGCCAUAGCCACAACAAUUCUAGAUCCAAAUUGCAUCAGCAACCUACACUACAGCUUGUAGUAAUGCUGGAUCCUUAACCCACUGAGUGAGGCCAGGGAUUGAACCUGUAUCCUUAUGGAUACUAGUCAGGUUCUUAACCCACAGAGUGACAACAGAUUCCAAAAGUGCAAGAUAUUUACAUUGAAUAAUGUAAGACAUUGAUGUAGGAAAUUGAAGACAAUAAAAAUAAAUGGGAAAGUAUUACAGACUCAUGGGUUGGAAGAAUUAAUACUGUUAAACUUUGCAUGCUACCUAAAGGAAUAUACAGAUUCAACACAAUUCAACACAAUUCAAAAUUUCAAUUGAAUUUUUCACAUAAAUAGAACAAUCCUAAAAUGUGUAUGUAAUGACAAAAUACCCUAACUAGCCAAAGUAACCUUGAGAAAGGAAAACAAAUUUGGAGAUAUCAUGUUUUCUAACUAUAUUACAAAGUUUUAGUAAUCAAAAAGGUAUAUUAUUGAUAUGGAACAGACAUGUACAUCAAUGGAACAGAAUAGAGAACCCAGAAAUAAUGCAAACAUAUAUGGCCAAUUACUUUAUGAUGAAGGAGCCAAAAAUAUGUAAUUGGGAAAAGAGAGUCUCUUCAGUUAAUGGUGCUGGGAAAACUGUAUACCCACAUACGAAAGAUUUAAUUUGAAUCCCUAUUUUACAUCAUACACAAAAAUUAACUCUAAAUGGAUUAAAGACUUGGACAUAGAUCUAAAACUAUAAGGCUCCUAAAAGAAAACAAAGGUGAUAAGCUUCUUGACAUCAGUCUUGCUUAUAUUUUUUGGAUCUGACACCAAAACAAAGGCAACAAAAGCAAAAAUAAACAAGUGGGACUACAAUGAAUUUAAAAACUUCUAUAAAGCAAAGGAAACCAUCAACAAAAUGAAAAUGCAGUCUCCCAAAUAGGAGAAAAUAUUUGCAAAUCACAUAACUGAUAAGGGCUAAUAUCUAAAAUAUUCAAGGAAUUCAUACAAAUCAAUGGCAAGAAAUCCCUAACAAUUUCAUUAAAAAUGUUCAGAAGGUCUGAUUAGAUAUUUUUACCAAUGAUAACACACAGAUGGCCAAUAGGUACAUGAAAGGGUUCUCAAUAUCACUAAUCAUCAGGGAAAUACAAAUUAAAAUCACAGUGGCACAUCAUCUCAUACCUAUAAAACGGGCUUUAUUAAAAAGACAAAAAAUAAUGUGUUGGUGCAGAUGUGGAAAAAAGGGAACUGUUAGGGGUAAUGUAAGCUGGUGUAGCCACUAUGGAAAAUAGUAUGCACGUUCUUCAAAAAACAAAACAAUAGAACUACCACAUCAUCUAGAAAUUCCAUGGCUGAUAUUUAUCUGAAGGAAAUGAGACACUAACUCAAAAAAAUAUCUGCACUCCAUGUUUACCACUAUUAACAAUAGCCAAGGUGUGGAAACAACCUAAGUUUUCCAUCCAUCAGCAGAUGAACAGAUAAAGAAAAUGUGACAUCUAUUCAAUGGAAUAUUAUUCUGCUAUAAAAUAGAAGGAAAUUCUUCCAUUUGUGAGAUUACAGAUGGACCUUGUGGGCAUAGUGCUAAGUGAUGUAAGUCAGAUAGGGACAAAUGCCAUAUAAUGUCACUUAGAUGUGGAAUCUUACCAAAGGGGAGAAAAAAAAAGAACAGAUUGGUAGUUGCCAGAGUUAGGAGGUAGGGGUUAUCAGGGUCAGAUAAAUAGGUAAAAGUGUCAAAAGUUACCAACUUUCAGUUAUAAAAUUAUUAAGUCCUGGAGAUAUAAUCCAUAGUAUGGUGAACAUAGUUAAUAAUUGGGUGUUGCAUAUUUAAAAUUUGUUGAGAGUUUUUUUAUUUAUUUUUUUUAUGGCCAAACCUGUGGCAUAUGGAAGUUCCCGGGCCAGGGAUUGAAUCCAGGCCACAGCUGUGCCCUGUGCCAUAGUUGUGGCAACGCCAGAUCCUUUAACCCUCUGUACUGGGUGGGGAAUUGAACUCAUACCUUCAAAGUGACCCAAACUGCUGCAGUCAGUUUCUUAACCCAGUGCAUCACAGUGGGAACUCCAAGAGAGUAAAUCUUAAAAGUUCUCAUCACAAGAAAUAAUUUGUAACUGUAUGUGGUGAUGGAUGUUAAUUAGACUUACUGCAGUGAUUAUUUCACAGUCUAUACAUUGUAUUUUAUAUUUUGUCAUUGUAUUUUGUACCUGAAGUUAACCUAGUGUUAUAUGUUAAUUUUAUCUCAAUUUCAGAAAAAAAGGAAAACAUAGGAAAAACAAAUUAUCAGUAUGGAUUAAUAGUCCUGUUACCAUUUUCUAAUCAUAAGAUUAAUAAUGUGAUUUUUAAAAAACAAAUCCUCAAUAUUAUCUACAUAUUUUAAGUAUCUGUAAUAAUUUUGUCCCUUAAAGUACAAAUAAAUUCACCCAUACAUAAGCAUAUUACAAAAAAUGAAUACCAAAACACAUCAUUCAUGCUUUUCUAAACCUGAUCCCCAAAGCAUCAUAAAGGAAAAAAAUCUCAGUGCUAAAUCUCUUGCCUCAUUUCUUAUAGGUUAGACUAUCAUUUGCUUUGUUUUCUGUUAUCUUGCAAAUGAUCUGUAACAAAUAAUGCUAAAUACUAAAAAACAGGAGUUCCUGUUGUGGCUCAGUGGUUAACGAAUCCAACUAGGAACCAUGAGGUUUUGGGUUUGAUCCCUGGCCUUGCUCAUUGGGUUAAGGAUCCAGAGUUCCAGUGAGUUGUGGUGUAGGUCACAGAUGUGGCUCAGAUCCCACGUUGCUGUGGCUCUGGCGUAGGCUGGAGGCUACAGCUCCGAUUCGACCCCUAGCUUGGGAACCUCCAUAUGCCCUGGGUGCGGCGCUAGAAAAGACAAAAAAAAAAAAAAUACUAAGAAACAUGCUCGCCAUACUACUAAGUAUGGGUACUCAUAGUGAUUUCCUGCCAUAGUUUCUUGAAAUUGUAUGAGUCAUAUGACUUUGCCAUAACCAUGGUUUUAUUAAUAAAUUCCCUACCUUGUAAUAAAAGUAAAUAUAAAAUAAUUUGAAUUUACUACAUAUCAAAAGUGUAAUAGAUAUUACCUACAAUAGUACUAUAUAGCAUUUUCAGUUAGGGCCCUUAGGUCACUGAAGUUUUCAUUCAUUAUAGACUCAACAAUCAUUCAUGUAUUGAAUUUGUGUUAAUAUAUUAGAUUUUCAAAAACCAUGGCUUGAGAACAAUAAUUUUUCAAAUAAUAGUUACUCAAAAUAUGUUUAUUCUAGUUAUACCCAUUUUUCAAAUAUCAUAAUUAAUGCAGAUUUCAUUCUCUCAUUCCAACAAUACAUAUUUAUUAAAUAUCUACCAUGGGUUAGGCUCAGGGCAAGGAGAUACACUGUGAAUCAAUGAAAUAUAAUCCCGUCCUACUUUUACUUUACUUGAAAAUUAUACCACACAGAUCCAAAGAGUUGGGAAUUUCACUCCUUUAGAGCAAAGCCAAGUAAAGCAAGUGAAAGAGUAUUUUCCAUAGGUAUAUAUAGAUUCCAAAAGUUUAUGCAUGAAAUCUGUGAACUCCUUUCCUUAGGAGAGCAUAUUACCCUUACAGUAUGUACAGUAUUAACACGUGUAGUUCUUACAGGCAUAGAAUAGGGGUAGGAAGUCUUAAGGUGUGAAUGUGGUCUCUAUUACUACAUACUAGCCAAUGAAUAAGUCACUUAAAUCACCUUUCACACCACUAAGUAUAGAAAUGAAAUUCAGAAAGACCUACUGAUGUAUAUACUCCAUAAAUGUAUAUAGAAGUCCUGGAUGACUAGCUUGCAGAAUCAUUUAGUCUGACAUGCAAAAUGAUUUUAUGUUUUUCAUUAGUUGCAGUCAUUUGAAAUUGAGAGAAUUUACAUAAAAAUUUGGUUCUCUAGCUUCUCUUGAAAACCCAGAAGAUCUAGUAAGAAGUACCUUGAUCUUUCAUGGUUACAAUUUGCUGGAACUAAAUACAGGCUGCUCUCUUUAGAAAUGACAUUCACUCUCCACCCAUUCACUUCACUAACAUUUACUGGAUCUCUACUAUGUGCCAUCAUUAUUCCAGGUACUGAGCAAAAAGGAAACCAGCUCACUGCCAUCGUGGCACUUACAUAAUCAUUAGGAGAAACAGAAGCAAAGCUUGCCCACAAACAUCCAAUAAAACAAGUUAAUGUGAUAGUAAAUGUUGUGAUUAAAAUUAUAUAGCACAAUGGGACAGAAAGUAACUUUGCUCAAAUCCUACUUUCUCAAUGAGGCAUUCUCCAGUGAUAAUUUAACACUUUCACUACAAGUCUUCAAAUUAUAGCCCGCC
rnacentral:lncRNA from 1 species